AACGAACGCUGGCGGCAUGCCUAACACAUGCAAGUCGAACGAGACCUUCGGGUCUAGUGGCGCACGGGUCCGUAACGCGUUGGAACCUGCCUUUAGAUUCGGCAUAACUCCCCGAAUGGCGUCCUAAUACCGGAUAUUGUCUUCGGUCCAAAGUUUUAUCGCCUUUGGAUGGGCCCGCGUGGGAUUACCUAGUUGUUAGGGUAAAAGCCUAUAACGGCGAGGAUCCAUAGCUGGUCUGCGAGGAUGAUCAGCCACACUGGGACUGGGACACGGCCCAGACUCCUACGGGAGGCAGCAGUGGGGAAUAUUGGACAAUGGGCGAAAGCCUGAUCCAGCAAGGCCGCGUGAGUGAUGAAGGCCUUAGGGUUGUAAAGCUCUUUUACCCGGGAUGAUAAUGACAGUACCGGGAGAAUAAGCUCCGGCUAACUCCGUG
rnacentral:rRNA from 1 species